UGUUGAAACUGCAAAUUUAUCAACAGAAAGACGGUCACACUCCUGUUUACAGCUGCAUCACUUCAUAUAACACAAUACAUGCAGAGACAAGUUCACUACAUAACUCCUUGGAAUCUAGAUACAUAAGAAACUGACAUGCUGCCCAGACGCUGAACCUUGGUUUCUGAUCUUUUGUUUACAAAAGAUACAUAGAAAGGAGCUCAAAUGAGUUAUUUUAUUCAACAAAGCAAGACAAUAAAUAGUGAUAACAAACAUACGAUACAAAUGGUGAACAUCCAUGGGACUGAUCAAGCACAAGAACCAUGAAUUGGGGGAGCAUAAAUCUGCAAAAUGACAUGCGUGAAACACUUCAUCCAUAUAAAAUUUUAGUUCUUCACUGUGGUUACGUGCCUCAGAAGCAUUUGGACAACAUCAGCAGAGACUCUUGACGCUUCAGUCUUCAGGUGUUCGAUCUUUUCAUUAGUUUCAAUCUCAAGACGUUUGACAUUAGCACCUGAGUCACCACUAGUCUGUUCAAGCUUUCUUUGAAAUUCAGCCUCCAUGUAAGCACGAAAUUCAGCUAUCUCCUUCUCAGCUUCCUCCUUGGCCUGCUUCAAUCUAGCUUGUUUAGCAGUCCUGGCAACAUUGACGAUGCGUUGGGCUUCCUGCUCAGCAGCUAAAAGGAGUUGAAUUCCAUUCUGGCCACCCCUACUAGAUUCCAUUCUCGUCUAUAAAACUGAAACAACUCUGUAGAAUCGGAAUUGAGAAAGUUCUGGCCUUCGUUUCGAUUUUGUUUCACACUCCACCUUAUAUUUGGA
rnacentral:misc_RNA from 1 species